GUUUGGUUAAGUUAGAAAGGGCGCACGGUGGAUGCCUUGACACUAGGAGUCGAUGAAGGACGGGACUAACGCCGAUAUGCUUCGGGGAGCUGUAAGUAAGCUUUGAUCCGAAGAUUUCCGAAUGGGGAAACCCACCAUACGUAAUGGUAUGGUAUCCUUAUCUGAAUACAUAGGGUAAGGAAGACAGACCCAGGGAACUGAAACAUCUAAGUACCUGGAGGAAGAGAAAGCAAAUGCGAUUUCCUGAGUAGCGGCGAGCGAAACGGAACAUAGCCCAAACCAAGAGGCUUGCCUCUUGGGGUUGUAGGACAUUCUAUACGGAGUUACAAAGGAACGAGGUAGACGAAGCGACCUGGAAAGGUCCGUCGUAGAGGGUAACAACCCCGUAGUCGAAACUUCGUUCUCUCUUGAAUGUAUCCUGAGUACGGCGGAACA
rnacentral:rRNA from 1 species